rnacentral:rRNA from 1 species
CAUGUCUUUUUGAUUAUAAUUUAAAGUCUGACCUGCCCUAUGAAUAAUUUUAUUUAAAUGGCUGCGGUAUUCUGACCGUGCAAAGGUAGCAUAAUAAUUAGUUUUUUAAUUGGGAACUGGUAUGAAAGGUCGAACGAGAAAAAGACUGUCUCAAUUUAAUUUUAAUUAGAAUUUUAUUUUUAAGUAAAAAAGCUUAAAUAAUUUUAAAAGACGAGAAGACCCUAUAGAGUUUUAUAAUUUAAAAUAUUUUUAAAAGUUAAAGAAUUUUAGAGUUAAUUUUAUUUUAAAUUAUUUGGUUGGGGCAAUUAAAAAAUUAAAAUAACUUUUUUUAUUAUUAUAACAUUGAUUUAUGAUUAAGUGAUCCAUAGUUUAUGAUUAAAAGAUUAAAUUACCUUAGGGAUAACAGCGUAAUUUUUUUUAGAGUUCUUAUCGAAAAAAAAGUUUGCGACC